GACGAACGCUGGCGGCGUGCUUAACACAUGCAAGUCGAACGGAAAGGCCCUGCUUUUGUGGGGUGCUCGAGUGGCGAACGGGUGAGUAACACGUGAGUAACCUGCCCUUGACUUUGUGAUAACUUCAGGAAACUGGGGCUAAUACCGGAUAGGAGCUCCUGCUGCAUGGUGGGGGUUGGAAAGUUUCGGCGGUGGGGGAUGGACUAGCGGCUUAUCAGCUUGUUGGUGGGGUAGUGGAUUACCAAGGCUUCGACGGGUAGCCGGCCUGGGAGGGUGACCGGCUACAUUGGGACUGCGAUACGGCCCAGACUCCUACGGGAGGCAGCAGUGGGGAAUAUUGCACAAUGGGCGGAAGCCUGAUGCAGCAACGCCCCGUGCGGGAUGACGGCCUUCGGGUUGUAAACCGCUUUCGCCUGUGACGAAGCGUGAGUGACGGUAAUGGGUAAAGAAGCACCGGCUAACUACGUG
rnacentral:rRNA from 1 species